rnacentral:rRNA from 1 species
AACGAACGCUGGCGGCAGGCUUAACACAUGCAAGUCGAACGGGUGUAGCAAUACAUCAGUGGCAGACGGGUGAGUAACACGUGGGAACCUUCCUAGGGGUACGGAACAACUCAGGGAAACUUGAGCUAAAUACCGUAUACGUCCGUAAGGAGAAAGAUUCAUCGCCCCUAGACGGGCCCGCGUCGGAUUAGGUAGUUGGUGGGGUAACGGCCUACCAAGCCUACGAUCCGUAGCUGAUCUGAGAGGANGAUCAGCCACACUGGGGCUGAGACACGGCCCAGACUCCUACGGGAGGCAGCAGUGGGGAAUCUUGGACAAUGGGCGCAAGCCUGAUCCAGCCAUGCCGCGUGAGUGAAGAAGGCCUUAGGGUUGUAAAGCUCUUUUACCA